rnacentral:rRNA from 1 species
CCUACGGGUGGCAGCAGUAGGGAAUAUUGCUCAAUGGGGGAAACCCUGAUGCAGCAACGCCGCGUGGAGGAUGAAGUUUUUCGGAUUGUAAACUCCUUUUGUUAGAGAAGAUAAUGACGGUAUCUCAUGAAUAAGCACCGGCUAACUCCGUGCCAGCAGCCGCGGUAAUACUGAGGGGGCAAGCGUUACUCGGAAUCACUGGGCGUAAAGAGCGCGUAGGCGGGAUAGCAAGUCAGAUGUGAAAGCCUAUGGCUUAACCAUCGAACUGCAUUUGAAACUGUUAUUCUAGAGUAUGGGAGAGGUAGGUGGAAUUCUUGGUGUAGGGGUAAAAUCCGUAGAGAUUAAGAGGAAUACUCAUUGCGAAGGCGACCUGCUAGAACAUAACUGACGCUGAGGCGCGAAAGCGUGGGUAUCGAACAGGAUUAGAUACCCUAGUAGUC